CAGAGUGCUCUGAGGUCUCUUUGUUCAGAACAGUACUUUGCAAGUGACCAAAUAAGAAGAUGUAUGUAUGAAAUCCAUUGGGCAGAUGGUGACUAAGGGGGAUUUCAUUGAUCACACAAAACAAGUCUGAGGCACCCUUUAUUGAUGUGACUGUCUAAAUCUGCCUGCAUAAAAUGGGGGAAGGUCCUUUAUCCUUUGGACAGAAAGAGAAGGACUAUUAUGCCCCUCAUCAAAGAAGCAAUGUGGAGACUCCAUGGGAAUAAGGGGAAAUGUUGAUGCACCCUGGUUGUAAGUGGAACUUUUGAGACAUUUUUAUCAAAGAUGAAGGUCUACACCUAUUUCUCAGGGAGUAAAAUAUCAGGUUACACGAAUAGGAAAAACCACUUCCCAUUGGACAUAAAGUAAACAUCUUGUGGAGCAGAGGAAUUUAUGGGCCUACGUGAUAGGCUUCCAACUCUUUUUCAGUAUUUAGAAUAUCCACAUUUUUUGUCUGGGGAGCUAUCAUUGUAUAUCUCCCAACAGGUUGGAUGAUUAUCCUUAGUCAAAGAAGCUUUGGUCACAGGAGAUGAGCCCAAGGCCCCCAUGUUCUGACGGGUAAUAUUUGAGAUUAUUCAUAGCAGAAAGAGAGUUAGAAGCAAUCCUAUAGAAUUGGGAGGAAAGCACGCAUACAGAGUCAAUAGAACAAGAUCUAUGGACCCCUUACAAGAGCUGGUAGGCCUGAAUCUGCUUUGGGUAAAAGAGGACAUUUUUAGGUCCAAUUGGGCAUUGGGAGAAAGUUACAUUUCCCCCUAGACAGGGGAAAGACUCUGUCCUUAUGAGUAGAAGUAGAGUGUCGUAGGCAGAGCAAGAGGCUCUGAAUCCACUUUACGAAAGGAAGACAUCUGGCGGGGUGCGGGAAGGGAGUGGAAUGUGUGAAUGUUGUAUGAAGUGGGAAAGAUUGCAUUAAAAAUAAUUUUUAAAAAAGACAGACAUUUUCAGAACCCUUUCCAGCGGUGGGAAUUUGAGGGCCCUAGGACAAGAGGAGUAGUUCUGCUGUCCCUUUCAGGUGAUGUACUGGAGCUGAGACCUAUUUAAGAAAUGGGAGGAGAGCCCUCCUUUAUCACAAUGAGAAUGAUUGACUCCUAG
rnacentral:lncRNA from 1 species